ACGCUGGCGGCAGGCCUAACACAUGCAAGUCGAGCGGUAGAGAGGAGCUUGCUUCUCUUGAGAGCGGCGGACGGGUGAGUAAUGCCUAGGAAUCUGCCUGGUAGUGGGGGAUAACGUUCGGAAACGGACGCUAAUACCGCAUACGUCCUACGGGAGAAAGCAGGGGACCUUCGGGCCUUGCGCUAUCAGAUGAGCCUAGGUCGGAUUAGCUAGUUGGUGGGGUAAUGGCUCACCAAGGCGACGAUCCGUAACUGGUCUGAGAGGAUGAUCAGUCACACUGGAACUGAGACACGGUCCAGACUCCUACGGGAGGCAGCAGUGGGGAAUAUUGGACAAUGGGCGAAAGCCUAAUCCAGCCAUGCCGCGUGUGUGAAGAAGGUCUUCGGAUUGUAAAGCACUUUAAGUUGGGAGGAAGGGUUGUAGAUUAAUACUCUGCAAUUUUGACGUUACCGACAGAAUAAGCACCGGCUAACUCUGUGCCAGCAGCCGCGGUAAUACAGAGGGUGCAAGCGUUAAUCGGAAUUACUGGGCGUAAAGCGCGCGUAGGUGGUUAGUUAAGUUGGAUGUGAAAUCUCCGGGCUCAACCUGGGAACUGCAUUCAAAACUGACUGACUAGAGUAUGGUAGAGGGUGGUGGAAUUUCCUGUGUAGCGGUGAAAUGCGUAGAUAUAGGAAGGAACACCAGUGGCGAAGGCGACCACCUGGACUGAUACUGACACUGAGGUGCGAAAGCGUGGGGAGCAAACAGGAUUAGAUACCC
rnacentral:rRNA from 1 species